CUCUUCUGAUCACUCCUUUGAUUCAUCUUGAGCCGAGUUCUUUCCCCUUCCAGAUUAUGACCGUAACGAGGCUCAGUGCGAUACUGAGGAGUUAAGAAAUGCAUCUGUACAUGUUUUGCACCUGUAUGAUGGUGAAGGACUUCAGAUAGCUCAUUGUUUUUACCCCUCAUGCUGCAUUUCUGGUGCAGUUCCUUGGUAAUUAUUGACCAAAAGCUGAUGGGGAGCAGAUUUUUUUUUUGUUUUUUUUUAGAAUACUGACCAAUUUCCACCUUCUGGAGAUUUUUGUACAUUCUUUGCUUAAAGUGUUCAACAUCUGUUCUCUGUCAUUCCACUUUAUUAAUCACACAAGUCUGUUCUUGUGUGGAUUUCUUUGAGUAGAUCACUUAUUACAAACAUAUGGUGCUAACUUCAUGUCGAUAGGCUCCCUUUAAAGCUUUUUAUUGUUUGAUAUACCAAGCAAUAAUAAAAGUCAAUCCACAGAAAUGUGGCCAGUUUUGAUCUUUAUCUAACUUAUUUGGAGCAUUUCUCAUAACGAGAUCAAAAAUCAAAUGUAUAAAGACUGUAAUUUUGUUAUUAAUAUUAUUUUGAUUCAGUAAACUGUAGAAAGACCAUGUAGUAAGGCAGUAAACAGUUCCCACCCUGCUGACAUUUAGUCAACUGAGUUGUAAGUUGUAAGUCACUGCGAAGGGUGUAAUUUUCUAACUGAAACUGGAUUCUGGAAAAUUUUUUUCUGUUUGUUUGGUGAUGUAUUAUGUUGAGCAUUGUUUUUGAUACACCUUGUUUCAAACUGAAACUGUAGUCAAAGUACUGUCAAGCAGAGACAUGUCUUUUCUGUGUAGAUGGCGGUUUUAGAUGUCCGUUGCUAUAUGGGAUUCGUGGAAAGGGCUGUUCCCUCUGCUUGUGUUCUAGGAAAAAUAUCAAGGGAGAUAACAGACACAGCCCUCAAGGUACAUCUAUCAUACUGGGUCAUUAGAUUUAAUCUUUAAGCACAAGACAGCUUUAAUACCCUUAUAAAUGAAACUUCGAAAGAUCUAAUUUGGCUUUAGACUGAUUUAGUUUGACAAGUUUUUCCCAGGAAUGACUGUCUAAAUGUGGCUGAGGAUUGUGCAACCACCAUAUUAUCCAUCCUACAACAUCGUGCUGACUUGCAAAUAAUAAGGCGGGAUUUCUCUUGGGGGAACGUGUGCCAUGUUUAUGUUUUUUUAUAUCUUAUUAAAAACUAAAUAAGUGUAUCGCAAAGACUGAAAGCCGAAGUAAAGUUUCACAGGACACAGAUGAUUUAGGCAAAGGAUGGGGGGGGGGUUCAAAGGAAAUUAAUACUUAACUAAACCCUUUAUUGGGAUUUUCAAUAAAGGUGGGUUUUGAGAGGGGACCUAAGGAGGGGUCUCUGCUUAAAUGGGCUUCAUCAUCUCAAACCCUGAGGGUUCAGACUUCACACUCUCAGCCCUUUAGCUGACCUCUGACUAAUAGAUCAAACUCCUGGAUGCAGUUUGCAAAGUAUGUUCAUGUGCAGCAUUAUGGAGUCAGAGCUGAGAAGGGCCACGGAGAGCCUUACUUUGGAGUGAGGCGGUCUGUGGAAAAUUGAUUCUGAGACACUGUUGGAACCAGAGUGAACAGACUACAAUAAAAGCAAUAUCUCCUGGCUCCUUGGCUUAAAAAAAAACAAAAAAAAAACACUCUACCUUGAGCUCCUCACCAUCUGGACCUGCUUAACAUGUCUUUGGUUCCGACAGGUGAAAAUGCUGCUGCAGUUUUUUCAGGAACGGUCAGAUAAAAGCUCGUCAACUUUUUGAACUGAACUUGUUUUGCUGUUAUUUGAAGGGAGAGACGUCACCUUUACAGAACAAUCCCGUUCUUGUAUUUGAAGACUGGAAACAGAAGGAGUCGAAACCUAGGACUGGCUGCAAAGAUUAGGAGUAAAUUGGAGAGGUUUCAUCUGGAUAUCGAUUUGUUACUGAUGCAUUAAACGUUUCUAACAGAGACAAAUCAUGCAUUAUUCCUGACUUUAUUUUUUGUUUGUUUGGUUUUUUUUGGGGGGUGGGUUCAACUUUGAUUUCCAACAGAAUUUUCUUCCCUAUGAGGAUCUUGGCAGCUCAUCCAGGGUAACUGUAAACCUCUCAGCUUCGCUGACCAUUAUUUCCCUUGCUUAGGUUGCCGGCGUGAGUGUGCGGCUGUAUUAUGGCAUACUCUUUUUAUUUUCAGAUGAUGAUGUUACUGCAAAUGCCCAAUCUAGGAAUAUUGUUUAAUAGCCAGACGCAGGUCUAAACUUUUCCACAGUAUCCUGUGUUCCUUGGUCUUCAUCAUGCUAUUUGUUGACUAAAUGUUUUCUGGCAAACCUUUGGUAGCUUCACAUAACAGCCUUAUUAUUUCCAGUCCAACCUUCCUUAUUGUGGCAUCUUUUCACAUGCCACAAUGGGAGUUUGAAGCUCUUUACAAUACUCAAGAAUUACCCAGACAUAUGUUUUAAGGUCUGUUUUUAAUAGUCUCAAAAGAGAUUCCUCCCCGAGGAGAAAAUGCAACGGUGAUCUAGACGAUUCACACACAUUCACAUAAUCCAGAACAUUCCUCUACAGGAGGAGGACUCUGGAAUGUACCAUAUGUAAACACAUACCACAUUCCUUCUUAAACUUUGAACAUUAAUCAUAUUAGGAUAAUUUCUUUUUCUGAGUGUUGAACAGGUAUGAGAAUUGUGUCUCACAUAAGCAGUUCUCAUGUUUUCCUGUUAUUUUUACAUGUAUUCUCCAACCAAAUGUCUAGAGAAGUAACCCAAUUUGUAAAUAGAGUCUUCCUUGAUGUACCUUAACCAUCUAUACUGGACCAGUGAAGUAAGACCAGCUAACACAAACAGUAGUGUACGUAUAACUGCUUAAAUAACAUAAAUCUCCUUUUUCAUGUUUUGGUCUUUCUUGGUGCAAAUUUGAUGUCUGUCCAAUCAUGUAGAUAUUCCAAAUGCUUUCAUUAGAAAAAUGUUCUAAGAUCUACUAAGAAAUAUUUGGAUUUGUGGUUUAAGAAAAGUUCUUCUCACCUGAAAAUAUGAAUUAAAUAUAAUCUUUAAAGCAGCUGGUGCUGGGGAAUGCUUCAGCUCCUCAGGUUUCUGAACAGAUUAAAAUGAACCUGUGGUACCUGUCGGGAACAGACUCAAAUAUGUGGACUGAGCAAUGGUCUUAGGCAAAGGUCUUAGUAGUGUGGUGUUUGGUUUCUGAAAUUGCCUGUUGUGACAGCUGGUGAGACAAAAUGCUGGUGGGUCACUUCUUAAUAUCUCUUGGACGCUUCCUGCACUACAGUAGGGUCUGCCAGCUUGAAGCAAUAGGUUUUUCAUUGUCCUAGUAUGCGGGAGCAAUCUACAGACAACGAGGGCUUGAUUCACCACUGAGACUCAAGUUUUGAAGGUUAGAGCUAAGACUAAGUAAGUCUGUUUUGGAACAUUACAGAUUAUAAGGUCCUGUGUUUGCUUUUGUGCCCCAUCCAGUGGAAAACUCCAGCAGGCACAAGCACAAUUUGCUACUAGGAUGAGAAUCAACAAGUCCAAGCCUGAGGCUGUUGUCCCUUAUAAGGUGAUUUGGUAACUCCCAAGUUAGAAUAAAUUAUUUUCGCCAUCAAAAGAUGUCUUUUGGCCCCCAUUCAUGAAGAAAUUGGUAGGAGAAUGACUAAUUAAUUAUAGAAUAACUAAAGACCUGAACAACGAUACUUGGAAAAACAGGAGAGAGGAGUUGUUCACAGCAUGCCUGGAAACACCUUCUGGUGUGAGAGUGGUCUUGUUAUCUAAAAAGGGGAUCAAAUGACAGUCAAUGCUCUGCUAUGUAAAAGGUCAUCUAAAUGGGUUCCAAUAUUUCAUGAGGACACACUGGACGUUUCCCAAAUGAAAUAGGGCUCAAAAUAGACCAAGAAAAUGUCUUGCCUAGCUUCAAAGGGAUGCAAUAUUAAAAAUAUAAGUAAUGGCAUUUAUGUUUUACUGAUAUUAACUAACUGAAAUUCACCAGUGUUUCACAUCAUUAGGUUCCAACGGACUAUUCAAUGUGCAAAAGCUUUUUCUUUCUUUUUUUUGAAGGUUGGGCAUAGCAAUGUUUUGUUUUGUUUUGGGGGGUUUUCUGUUUGUUUUUUUGUUUUACAGUACAAACUUGACCACGAAAUUCUAACCUACAUAAAUCGAUGCGAUGGCACGGAGAUGCUUUGCUGGAGUACAAGACAUGGGCAUACGUAAUGUAUUCUUAUUGUUGUUGUGUACCCUCAGUUGUACAGAGUUCAGAGAGUUGGUUCAGUUGACGUUCCAAGAACUGACGUGUGUUUGUAUCCUUUCUUGCUAAGUCUAGAUCUAAGACUAGAUCAUCCACUCCUUGCUGCCUGAACUUGUUUUUUCCAAGAAGUGACGGUACAGAAAAUGUGGCUUUGGCGUUGUCACACCUGCAAUAAAUAUGCAACAUGUGCAAAAAGAUAAAACACCUGCAUUUAUUUUGCUUAAAUUCUUGAUGUUCUUUAUGAGAGGAAUAAAUUUACAACUUGUUUAUUACUUA